ACUCCUACGGGAGGCAGCAGUGAGGAAUAUUGGUCAAUGGACGCAAGUCUGAACCAGCCAUGCCGCGUGCAGGAUGACGGCUCUAUGAGUUGUAAACUGCUUUUGUACGAGGGUAAACGCAGAUACGUGUAUCUGUCUGAAAGUAUCGUACGAAUAAGGAUCGGCUAACUCCGUGCCAGCAGCCGCGGUAAUACGGAGGAUUCAAGCGUUAUCCGGAUUUAUUGGGUUUAAAGGGUGCGUAGGCGGUUUGAUAAGUUAGAGGUGAAAUUUCGGGGCUCAACCCUGAACGUGCCUCUAAUACUGUUGAGCUAGAGAGUAGUUGCGGUAGGCGGAAUGUAUGGUGUAGCGGUGAAAUGCUUAGAGAUCAUACAGAACACCGAUUGCGAAGGCAGCUUACCAAACUAUAUCUGACGUUGAGGCACGAAAGCGUGGGGAGCAAACAGGAUUAGAUACCCUGGUAGUCCACGCAGUAAACGAUGAUAACUCGUUGUCGGCGAUACACAGUCGGUGACUAAGCGAAAGCGAUAAGUUAUCCACCUGGGGAGUACGUUCGCAAGAAUGAAACUCAAAGGAAUUGACGGGGGCCCGCACAAGCGGAGGAACAUGUGGUUUAAUUCGAUGAUACGCGAGGAACCUUACCCGGGCUUGAAAGUUAGCGACGAUUCUUGAAAGAGGAUUUCCCUUCGGGGCGCGAAACUAGGUGCUGCAUGGUUGUCGUCAGCUCGUGCCGUGAGGUGUCGGGUUAAGUCCCAUAACGAGCGCAACCCCUACCGUUAGUUGCCAUCAGGUCAAGCUGGGCACUCUGGCGGGACUGCCGGUGUAAGCCGAGAGGAAGGUGGGGAUGACGUCAAAUCAGCACGGCCCUUACGUCCGGGGCUACACACGUGUUACAAUGGUAGGUACAGAGGGCAGCUACCCAGCGAUGGGAUGCGAAUCUCGAAAGCCUAUCUCAGUUCGGAUUGGAGGCUGAAACCCGCCUCCAUGAAGUUGGAUUCGCUAGUAAUCGCGCAUCAGCCAUGGCGCGGUGAAUACGUUCCCGGGCCUUGUACACACCGCCCGUCAAGCCAUGGAAGCUGGGGGUGCCUGAAGUUCGUGACCGCAAGGAGCGACCUAGGGCAAAACCGGUAACUGGGGCUAAGUCGUAACAAGGUAGCCGUACCGGAAGGUGCGGCUG
rnacentral:rRNA from 1 species